GGAUUAGAUACCCUAUUAUUUUAAAAAGUUAUUAAGGUAGUGAGUAAAAUGUAUUAAAUCUAAAGAUUUUGGCGGUGUUUUAAGCUUUUUAGAGGAAUUUACUCUUUAAUUGAUAUAACACAAACAUCUUACUUAAUUUGGUAAUGGCAGUUUGUAUAUCGCUAUCAUUUAAUAAAGUUGAAUAAUUUUUUAUUAAGCUUAAGAUUUUUAUUAAUGUUAGGUCAAAAUGCAGCUUAAAAUUAAGGUUGAAGUAGAUUACAUUUAUUUAUAUUAAUGUAUGUAUGAAAAGUUUUUUUUGGAUUUAAAAGUAAGAUGGAAUUAUAAUGUUUAUCUGAAUCUAGUUCUAGAACAUGCACACAUCGCCCGUCG
rnacentral:rRNA from 1 species